rnacentral:rRNA from 1 species
CCUACGGGGUGCAGCAGUGGGGGAUAUUGCACAAUGGGGGGAACCCUGAUGCAGCGACGCCGCGUGGGUGAAGGAGUGCUUCGGCAUGUAAAGCCCUAUCGGCAGGGAAGAAGCAAGACGGUACCUGACUAAGAAGCCCCGGCUAACUACGUGCCAGCAGCCGCGGUAAUACGUAGGGGGCGUGCGUUAUCCGGAUUCACUGGGUGUAAAGGGAGCGUAGACGGCCAUGCAAGCCAGGGGUGAAAGCCCGGGGCCCAACCCCGGGACUGCCCUUGGAACUGUGCGGCUAGAGUGCGGGAGGGGCAGGCGGAAUGCCUGGUGUAGCGGGGAAAUGCGUAGAUAUCAGGAGGAACACCGGCGGCGAAGGCGGCCUGCUGGACCGCGACUGACGUUGAGGCUCGAAAGCGUGGGGAGCGAACAGGAUUAGAUACCCGAGUAGUC